rnacentral:misc_RNA from 13 species
GUCAUUGCUGUAGUAAUCCUGCUUAGUACGAGAGGAACCGCAGGUUCGGACAAUUGGUUCAUGCACUCGGUCGACAGGCCGGUGGUGCGAAGUUACCAUCCGUGGGAUUAUGCCUGAACGCCUCUAAGGCCGAAUCCCGACUAUGAGCAAUGAU